CGCCCGGCACGUGCGCGAGCGCGUCGCAGGCAUCACACGCGUACCCGCGACGCUACGACGAGCGCCGCGACGCGUGCGAUUAUUCGCCGAUGACAGGCGUGGGCGUAGGUGUGGGAGUGGGCGUGGGAUGCACGUCAACGUGUGAACGGCGCGGACACCCGCGACAUAACGUUCCUGACCAGAGCACGCCGCUGCUGUCAGGCGUGGGCCCGCUGCUCUCGCCGCAGUCGUCGCUGG